CGGGGGAGGCUGGAUCCUGGGCUGUGUCCCAGCGCUCUGUGCUUCGGGGCCUGCGCUGUUGUAUUCGCGCUCCCGGCCCGCAGCCCCCU
rnacentral:pre_miRNA from 1 species